rnacentral:rRNA from 1 species
UACGAAGGGGGCUAGCGUUGCUCGGAAUCACUGGGCGUAAAGCGCACGUAGGCGGAUCUUUAAGUCAGAGGUGAAAUCCUGGAGCUCAACUCCAGAACUGCCUUUGAUACUGGGGAUCUCGAGUCCGGAAGAGGUGAGUGGAACUCCGAGUGUAGAGGUGAAAUUCGUAGAUAUUCGGAAGAACACCAGUGGCGAAGGCGGCUCACUGGCCCGGUACUGACGCUGAGGUGCGAAAGCGUGGGGAGCAAACAGG